rnacentral:rRNA from 1 species
GGCUACCACAUCUAAGGAAGGCAGCAGGCGCGAAAAUUACCCAAUCCUAACUCAGGGAGGUAGUGACAAGAAAUAACAACGCGGGGCUCUGUCUCGCGAUUGGAAUGAGAACAAUGUAAAAGCCUUAACGAGGAUCCACUGGAGGGCAAGUCUGGUGCCAGCAGCCGCGGUAAUACCAGCUCCAGUAGCGUAUAUUAAAGUUGUUGCAGUUAAAAAGCUCGUAGUUGAAAUUCUGUACGGAACGACGUCUUCGGAUGAUCGAGCCGUGCAUCCGCCUGAGCAGCAGGUCGGUACUUUGUUGCCGGUUUGUGAUCAGGCACUUUACCUUGAGCAAAUUAGAGUGUUCCAGGCAGGCGUCAGCCUGAAUAGUCCAGCAUGGAAUAAUAGAAGAGGACUGAAAACCACUGUUGGUGUUGUGGUAAUCAGUAAUGAUUAAUAGGGAUAGUUGGGGGCAUUCGUAUUUAACUGUCAGAGGUGAAAUUCUAUGAUUUAUUAAAGACGAACCUAUGCGAAAGCAUUUGCCAAGGAUGUUUUCAUUAAUCAAGAACGAAAGUUAAGGGAUCAAAGACGAUCAGAUACCGUCGUAGUCUUAACCAUAAACUAUGCCGACUAGAGAUUGGAGGUGCAACUCCAAGACUCCUUCAGCAUCUUACGAGAAAUCAAAGUCUUUGGGCUCUGGGGGGAGUAUGGCCGCAAGACUGAAACUUAAAGGAAUUGACGGAAGGGCACCACCAGGUGUGGAGCCUGCGGCUUAAUUUGACCCAACACGGGGAAACUUACCAGGUCCAGACAUAGCGAGGAUUGACAGACUGACAGCUCUUUCUUGAUUCUAUGGGUGGUGGUGCAUGGCCGUUCUUAGUUGGUGGAGUGAUUUGUCUGGUUAAUUCCGAUAACGAACGAGACCUCAGCCUGCUAAAUAGUCAGAGUCCGAUUGGGCUUGUGACUUCUUAGAGGGACUGUGGGGGCUACUCCACGGAAGUUUGAGGCAAUAACAGGUCUGUGAUGCCCUUAGAUGUCCUGGGCCGCACGCGCGCUACACUGAUGCAGGCAGCAAGCACCGUGGCAGAAAUGUCUCGGAAAACUACAAACUGCAUCGUGCUGGGGAUUGACUCUUGGAAUUCUUGGUCAUAAACGAGGAAUACCUAGUAAACGCAAGUCAUCAGCUUGCAUUGAUUACGUCCCUGCCCUUUGUACACACCGCCCGUCGCUCCUACCGAUUUGAGUGGUGCGGUGAACCCUUCGGACCGGUACGCCGGAAAGUUGAGUAAACCUUACCACUUAGAGGAAGGAGAAGUCGUAACAAGGUA